GACGAACGCUGGCGGCGUGCUUAACACAUGCAAGUCGAACGGAAAGGCCCUGCUUUUGUGGGGUGCUCGAGUGGCGAACGGGUGAGUAACACGUGAGUAACCUGCCCUUGACUUUGGGAUAACUUCAGGAAACUGGGGCUAAUACCGGAUAGGAGCUCCUGCUGCAUGGUGGGGGUUGGAAAGUUUCGGCGGUUGGGGAUGGACUCGCGGCUUAUCAGCUUGUUGGUGGGGUAGUGGCUUACCAAGGCUUUGACGGGUAGCCGGCCUGAGAGGGUGACCGGCCACAUUGGGACUGAGAUACGGCCCAGACUCCUACGGGAGGCAGCAGUGGGGAAUAUUGCACAAUGGGCGGAAGCCUGAUGCAGCAACGCCGCGUGCGGGAUGACGGCCUUCGGGUUGUAAACCGCUUUCGCCUGUGACGAAGCGUGAGUGACGGUAAUGGGUAAAGAAGCACCGGCUAACUACGUAC
rnacentral:rRNA from 1 species